rnacentral:rRNA from 1 species
GACGAACGCUGGCGGCGUGCCUAAUACAUGCAAGUCGAGCGAACACAAGAGGAGCUUGCUCCUCUUUGUUAGCGGCGGACGGGUGAGUAACACGUGGGCAACCUGCCUGUAAGACUGGGAUAACACCGGGAAACCGGUGCUAAUACCGGAUAAUCCUUUUCCUCUCAUGAGGGAAAGCUGAAAGUCGGUUUACACUGACACUUACAGAUGGGCCCGCGGCGCAUUAGCUAGUUGGUGAGGUAACGGCUCACCAAGGCAACGAUGCGUAGCCGACCUGAGAGGGUGAUCGGCCACACUGGGACUGAGACACGGCCCAGACUCCUACGGGUGGCAG